rnacentral:rRNA from 1 species
UACGGAGGGGACUAGCGUUAAUCGGAAUUACUGGGCGUAAAGCGUGCGCAGGCGGUUUUGUAAGCCAGAUGUGAAAUCCCCGGGCUUAACCUGGGAAUGGCAUUUGGGACUGCAUGGCUGGAGUGCGGCAGAGGGGGAUGGAAUUCCGCGUGUAGCAGUGAAAUGCGUAGAUAUCGGGAGGAACAUCAGUGGCGAAGGCGGCUGCCUGGCCCAAUACUGACACUCAGGUGCGACAGCGUGGGGAG